ensembl:snoRNA SNORD28 Small nucleolar RNA SNORD28
GCCAUGUGAUCUGAACCAGUUCCUCUGAAAAGUUUUGAAGAAUGUUUGUCAAUAAGCAUGUUAGAGUUCUGAUGGCA